ACAAUUACUUCCCUGGGGUACAUACUUCUUUAUGUACCCAUAUGAAGAUAUGAAAGCUAUGGAAUGUAAAGAAGUAUGUAUUCUCGGUGAGGUGCGAGUCU
rnacentral:pre_miRNA from 1 species